rnacentral:lncRNA from 1 species
GGCGUCUGUGGGGAACUGGGGCGCUGGUCGGUGCGCGGGCUGGGACGCUAAGUCAUGAGGAAUUAAACUGGGAAACCUGGCGUGGGUCCAGGCGCCUUCCAGGAGGCAUCCGGCGCGGCCCGGACGUGCUUCUACCCAGAACCACCCCCUCCAGGCCGGGGUGCACUUAACGGGGCUAUACAAAGAGUCUGGCUCAACUCUGCCUGGCAGUGGCAAGGGCCAGGGCCAGUGACUGAAGCAACAAACUGCCAGAUGACUGCAGCUCAAGCCAAUGCACAAAGCCACUGCAACAAGAGAGGAAAUUCUUCCAUUUCCAAGUGUGUCGAUUUCUCCCCAUCAAGGAAAACAGCUAAGGCAAUGUGUUGAUAUUUUCUUUGACCAAGUCAUCAGGAGUCACAUAGACAUACAGCACUCAAGAAGUGGCUGUAACUAAAGGCACAUCUCGUUCAUCUACAACCCUUGUAAUCCCAACCUUUGUCUGAUGCACAAACCCUUCCCUAGUUCUCCCCACCACCACCACUGCACCUCCAAGUGGGGACAACGAAUUGUUUCAUUUGCAUGUGGUUUUUCUCAUGAAAAAUAUCAUUAACAUGAGACAGCCCCAAACCAAGGAAACCAGAAGUGGGGUUUGUGCUUGGUCUUACUGAGAGCUUUCCCUACUUGACCAGACCCCAGCAUUGUUCUAGAUUUGUCUCUUGUGGGCUACAGGAAUGCAAACAUUUUGUAGUUUCCUCUUUUUUGUUUUCUUAAUGGCUUGAUGAGCCACACAUGUUUCUCUAAAUGCAUGAUUUUAAAUUCA